rnacentral:rRNA from 1 species
UACAGAGGUCUCAAGCGUUUGUUCGGAUUCAGUUGGGCGUAAAGGGUGCGUAGGCGGCGCGGUAAAGUCGGGUGUGAAAUCAUUGGAGCUUAACUCCGAAACUGCAUUCGAUACUGCCGUGCUUGAGGACUGGAGAGGAGACUGGAAAUUUACGGUGUAGCGGUGAAAUGCGUAGAUAUCGUAAGGAAGACCAGUGGCGAAGGCGGGUCUCUGGACAGUUCCUGACGCUGGAGG